rnacentral:rRNA from 1 species
CUACGGGAGGCAGCAGUGGGGAAUCUUAGACAAUGGGGGAAACCCUGAUCUAGCCAUGCCGCGUGAGCGAUGAAGGCCUUAGGGUUGUAAAGCUCUUUCAGCUGGGAAGAUAAUGACGGUACCCGCAGAAGAAGCCCCGGCUAACUUCGUGCCAGCAGCCGCGGUAAUACGAAGGGGGUUAGCGUUGCUCGGAAUCACUGGGCGUAAAGCGCACGUAGGCGGGUUGCUAAGUCAGGGGUGAAAUCCUGGAGCUCAACUCCAGAACUGCCUUUGAUACUGGCGACCUUGAGUCCGGGAGAGGUGAGUGGAACUGCGAGUGUAGAGGUGAAAUUCGUAGAUAUUCGGAGGAACACCAGUGGCGAAGGCGGCUCACUGGCUCGAUACUGACGCUGAGGUGCGAAAGCGUGGGGAGCAAACAGGAUUAGAAACCCGUGUAGUCC